rnacentral:rRNA from 1 species
CCUACGGGGGGCUGCAGUGGGGAAUAUUGGACAAUGGGCGAAAGCCUGAUCCAGCAAUGCCGCGUGAGUGAUGAAGGCCUUAGGGUUGUAAAGCUCUUUUACCCGGGAUGAUAAUGACAGUACCGGGAGAAUAAGCUCCGGCUAACUCCGUGCCAGCAGCCGCGGUAAUACGGAGGGAGCUAGCGUUGUUCGGAAUUACUGGGCGUAAAGCGCACGUAGGCGGCUUUGUAAGUUAGAGGUGAAAGCCUGGAGCUCAACUCCAGAAUUGCCUUUAAGACUGCAUCGCUUGAAUCCAAGAGAGGUGAGUGGAAUUCCGAGUGUAGAGGUGAAAUUCGUAGAUAUUCGGAAGAACACCAGUGGCGAAGGCGGCUCACUGGCUUGGUAUUGACGCUGAGGUGCGAAAGCGUGGGGAGCAAACAGGAUUAGAUACCCCAGUAGUC